UUAAGCAAAAAAGAGCGCAGGGUGGAUGCCUUGGCACUAAGAGCCGAAGAAAGACGUGAUAAGCUGCGAAAAGCUGCGGGGAGAUGCAAAUAAUCCUUGAUCCGCAGAUGUCUGAAUGGGGAAACCCGGUACGAAGAACUCGUAUCAUCCAUACGCCAAUCCAUAACGUAUGGAGGGGAACCCGGUGAACUGAAACAUCUAAGUAGCCGGAGGAAGAGAAAGAAACAUCGAUUUUGUUAGUAGCGGCGAGCGAAAGCGAAAGAGGCCAAACCGGAGUGCGUGCACUCCGGGGUUCGGACCGCAUUUAAGAUUCAGUGAUUCUAGCAGAAAGGUUUGGGAAAGCCUGCCGGAGAGGGUGAAAGCCCCGUAAGCGAAAGGAGAGCUGACUGAGCGGGAUCCAGAGUACAUCGAGACACGAGAAACCUUGAUGGAAUGAGCGGGGACCACCCCGUAAGCCUAAAUACUACUUAGUGACCGAUAGCGCAUAGUACUGUGAAGGAAAGGUGAAAAGGACCCCGGGAGGGGAGUGAAAGAGAACCUGAAACCCUGUGUUUACAAGCUGUGGAAGUUCUUUAAAUGAACAACCGCGUACUUUUUGUAGAACGGUCCGGCGAGUUGCGGAUACUGGCAAGGUUAAGCACUUAAGGUGCGGAGCCGAAGGGAUACCAAGUCUUAACAGGGCGUUAAGUCAGUAUACGCAGACCCGAAACCGGGUGAUCUAUCCAUGUCCAGGUUGAAGUUGUCGUAAAAGACAAUGGAGGACCGAAGCCACAUCCGUUGAAAAGGGUGGGCAUGAGGUGUGGAUAGGGGAGAAAUUCCAAUCGAACCCGGAGAUAGCUGGUUCUCCUCGAAAUAGCUUUAGGGCUAGCCUCGAUUUAGUCUUAUGGAGGUAGAGCACUGAAUUUCCGCGGGGGCGUCAAAGCUUACCAAAGAAUAUCAAACUCCGAAUGCCAUGUAGAUGAUGAUCGGGAGUCAGACUGCACGAGAUAAGUUGGGCAGUCAAAAGGGAAAGAGCCCAGACCACCGGCUAAGGUCCCAAAGUGCGUGUUAAGUGGAAAAGGAUGUGGGAAUUCGAAGACAACUAGGAUGUUGGCUCAGAAGCAGCCAUACAUUCAAAGAGUGCGUAACAGCUCACUAGUCGAGAGUUCCUGCGCCGAAAAUGUCCGGGGCUGAAACACGACACCGAAGCCGUGGACUCGCAAUGCGAGUGGUAGAGGAGCAUUCUUAAAACCGACGAAGCUGUACCGAAAGGAGCAGUGGAGGGAUAAGAAGAGAGAAUGCCGGAAUGAGUAGCGAGAGAAAGGUGGGAAUCCUUUCGGCCGAAUAUCUAAGGUUUCCAGAGUAAAGCUGAUCUGCUCUGGGUAAGUCGGGGCCUAAGCACAGGUCGCAAGACGUAAGCGAUGGAUAACAGGUUUAGAUUCCUGUACCACGCAUUAUCAGAACUGUAGGGACGCAUGUGGAAAGCACGAGCCGGGAAUGGAAAGACCGGUACAAGCGGGGUAGGUGUACAAUAGGCAAAUCCGUUGUAUAAUCCGAAGACGUGAUGUGGAGCGAAAUAAAGUAGUGAAGCGUGUGAGCCAUGUGCCGAGAAAAGCUGCUAUUGUGUAAUGCGUGCCCGUACCGUAAACCGACACAGGUGGAUGAGGAGAGAAUCCUAAGGCCGACGGAAGAAGCAUUGUUAAGGAAUUCGGCAAAAUGACCCCGUAACUUCGGGAGAAGGGGUGCCUGCGAGAGCAGGCCGCAGAGAAUAGGCUCAAGCAACUGUUUAGCAAAAACACAGGUCUAUGCGAAACCGAAAGGUGAAGUAUAUGGGCUGACGCCUGCCCGGUGCUGGAAGGUUAAGAGGAGAGGUUAGCGUAAGCGAAGCUUUGAAUUUAAGCCCCAGUAAACGGCGGCCGUAACUAUAACGGUCCUAAGGUAGCGAAAUUCCUUGUCGGGUAAGUUC
rnacentral:rRNA from 1 species